rnacentral:misc_RNA from 1 species
AAUAAAUAAUAACAAAUAUAGCUUCCUUAUAUCAAUUAUCAUUUCACCCACAAUCAUUCACUAAGUUUCCUAAUCUUAGUUUCAGCAACUGAAAAAUCUAUGACUUCUUUCAAAUUAAAACCCUAAUUGCCAAAUUCUUCAAUUGGCCAAACAGUAGCGCAGAAACAAGAGAAAGUCAAAACAUUUCAGUAUCACAACAAUUGUUUCA